rnacentral:rRNA from 1 species
GGAGGCACCAGUGGGGAAAUUGCACAAUGGGGAAAACCUGAUGCAGGGACUCCGCGUGGGGAUGGCGGCCUUCGGGUAGAAACCCCUUUCAGUAGGGAAGAAGCGAGAGUGACGGUACCUGCAGAAGAAGCGCCGGCUAACUACGUGCCAGCAGCCGCGGUAAUACGUAGGGCGCAAGCGUUGUCCGGAAUUAUUGGGCGUAAAGAGCUUGUAGGUGGCUUGUCGCGUCUGCCGUGAAAACCCGAGGCUCAACCUCGGGCGUGCGGUGGGUACGGGCAGGCUAGAGUGUGGUAGGUGAGACUGGAACUCCUGGUGUAGCGGUGAAAUGCGCAGAUAUCAGGAAGAACACCGAUGGCGAAGGCAGGUCUCUGGGCCAUUACUGACACUGAGAAGCGAAAGCAUGGGUAGCGAACAGGAUUAGAUACCCUGGUAGUCCAUGCCGUAAACGUUGGGCACUAGGUGUGGGGGACAUUCCACGUUUUCCGCGCCGUAGCUAACGCAUUAAGUGCCCCGCCUGGGGAGUACGGCCGCAAGGCUAAAACUCAAAGGAAUUGACGGGGGCCCGCACAAGCGGCGGAGCAUGCUGAUUAAUUCGAUGCAACGCGAAGAACCUUACCAAGGCUUGACAUGCACUGGACGGCUGCAGAGAUGUGGCUUUCUUUGGACUGGUGCACAGGUGGUGCAUGGUUGUCGUCAGCUCGUGUCGUGAGAUGUUGGGUUAAGUCCCGCAACGAGCGCAACCCUCGUUCUAUGUUGCCAGCACGUGAUGGUGGGGACUCAUAGGAGACUGCCGGGGUCAACUCGGAGGAAGGUGGGGACGACGUCAAAUCAUCAUGCCCCUUAUGUCUUGGGCUUCAAGCAUGCUACAAUGGUCGGUACAAUGGGUUGCGAAACUGUGAGGUGGAGCGAAUCCCAAAAAGCCGGCCUCAGUUCGGAUUGGGGUCUGCAACUCGACCCCAUGAAGUCGGAGUCGCUAGUAAUCGCAGAUCAGCAACGCUGCGGUGAAUACGUUCCCGGGCCUUGUACACACCGCCCGUCAAGUCACGAAAGUCGGUAACACCCGAAGCCCAGUGGCCCAUCCUCGUGAGGGAGCGUCGAAAGGUGGA